rnacentral:rRNA from 1 species
AGGACGAACGCUGGCGGCGUGCUUAACACAUGCAAGUCGAACGGUGAACCCCUUCGGGGGGGAUCAGUGGCGAACGGGUGAGUAACACGUGAGCAACCUGCCCCUGACUCUGGGAUAACCCCGGGAAACCGGAGCUAAUACCGGAUAUGACACCUUCGGGCAUCCGAUGGGUGUGGAAAGAUUUAUCGGUUGAGGAUGGGCCCGCGGCCUAUCAGCUAGUUGGUGGGGUGAUGACCCACCAAGGCGACGACGGGUA